UCUGCCUCCAGGGGAUCUCCCUGACCCGGAGACUGAACGCACGUCACCUUGACUCCUGCACUGUAGGCGGAUUCUUUACCACUGAGCCACCGAGAAGCACCUGACAGCACUAUUAGGGUUGAGAAAAUGCAGCUGGGCUUUCAGAACACAAAAAGAGUCAGGAAGAACAUGAAAUCUCAACAAGCCAAUGAGGUCAUCUGAGUGAUCAUAGGAGAAAUGAGGAAUCAUGAAGAUUAUAUCUUGACAGAAGAGAGAGAGAAAAGUGAAAGGAGAGCAAGCCUGAAGAGGCAGCAGGGUCAGUGAAAUAGGAUGCAGAGCCUUUAGUGAACAGCAUGUUUAUUUCAAGGAAAAUUAAUAGCGUAUUAUGAAGCACCUAUUGAUCGCUCUAGAUUUACUAUUUGUUACGAUGGAGAAACAGAAGAUAUGACAACUUGGUGCUUAAACAUUUCAGUGAGGAGAAAGAAAAGGCGUAUAUAGACAUUUUAAUACCAUUAUCAAGUGCUGUGCAAAAAAAGCACCACAGUGAUUCUUCCACCAGAAUUAUACAGAAUGUAGAUUUCAUUGCAAGUCAGUAGAAGCAAGAAGAAUUCAUGGCGUGAAGGUAUCUGAGCAGAUCAAGCAUCAAAUAAGUGGAAAAGACAGGUAAGUGUACUCUGAGGGAUUGGAAGGGCAGGGCGGUGCCAUGAAGUAAAAGAAAUAGAAAGGAAAUUCAUAUGGCUUGCACAAAAGGUCAUGAGUUCCCCUCCACCUGGGAUGACCUGGGAGAUUUUGGAGAAAACAGUUGUCAGACAGGCUGAUAGAUAGAAAAGACCAGAAUAUAAAGGACUUCUUAUAUUGAAUUAUUUUAAAUUUUACUGAAUAAAUCAAAUAAUCCCAACCUCUCAGCAUAAAUAUUUCAUUCUUCCACUGUGAGACUCUAACGUUGGAGGUGUCACACGCAAUUAUAAAUGCUUCAGAGUAGAAUAGAGCAAUCACUCUGUUAGGGUUUGGAAUCAGGCAAAUCUUGUUCUAUUUUUUACUACUUACAAGUUAGGUGAUAUCAAGCAAAUGACUUAAACUUGCUGAAUCUCAUUUUAUAUAUCUACAAAAUGGAGACUGUACUAUUUAUUUCGAAGGAUGUUAUAUAGAUGAAAUUAAAUUAUACAAUGCUGUGAUACUGACUUAUAAAAAAAAAUACAUACUUGAUCUUCCAGUUUCUGGCAGAAUCCUUAAAACCAUCAAAAUUCUCUAAGAGAGGAGAGCAAUAAAAGAUGUCUUUUGUAAUGUUAAUGAUAUUACUUUAGGAAAGCCCUUAGGUAAAGAGAGGCUGGGGCUGGUUUCCAGAGGAAGCAUCUUUGAAUGGAAGGUUGGAACUUUCAGUCUACCUUCUGAUUUUCAGGGUUUCAUGGGGGCUGAGGUGGAAUUAAUUACUCAAUGACCAAUGACUUAAUCAAUCAUCCAUAUUUAAUGAAGCCUGAAUAAAAACUCCCCAAAGAAGGGUUUUGGAGAUCUUUCAGGUCGGCACACGUGGCAGUAUGGGAAGACUGGGCUCCUGGAGUGAGCCUGGAAGCACCACACCUUUCCCCCAUGUUCUGUGCUGCAAUUGCAGCUGACUGUUCCUGAGCUACAUCCUUCUACAAGAAAACCAGGGAGCUAUACUUAUCCCCUGAUGUAUAAAAAGAGGGACCUUAUAAGGCAUCACCUCCACUGGAACAGAGAGUGACAGAGGCUCUACUCGUAAGUAUGCUGAAAUUACAACUUCAUUCACUACCACUUUCUAUGAGAAGAAAAGCUCCAGGGAGGCAAGUACUUCAUCUGUAUUAUUCAGAGCUGUAUGACAAGAUUCUUAAAGUGUCUGACAGAGGAGAUAUUUAGUAAAUAAAUAUUUAUUAAAUGAA